GACGAACGCUGGCGGCGUGCUUAACACAUGCAAGUCGAACGGAAAGGCCCUGCUUUUGUGGGGUGCUCGAGUGGCGAACGGGUGAGUAACACGUGAGUAACCUGCCCUUGACUUUGGGAUAACUUCAGGAAACUGGGGCUAAUACCGUAUAGGAUCUCCUGCUGCAUGGUGGGGGUUGGAAAGUUUCGGCGGUUGGGGAUGGACUCGCGGCUUAUCAGCUUGUUGGUGGGGUAGUGGCUUACCAAGGCUUUGACGGGUAGCCGGCCUGAGAGGGUGACCGGCCACAUUGGGACUGAGAGACGGACCAGACUCCUACGGGAGGCAGCAGGGGGGAAUAUUGCACAAUGGGCGGAAGCCUGAUGCAGAAACGCCGCGUGCGGGAUGACGGCCUUCGGGUUGUAAACCGCUUUCGCCUGUGACGAAGCGUGAGUGACGGUAAUGGGUAAAGAAGCACCGGCUAACUACGUG
rnacentral:rRNA from 1 species